AGUCGAGCGGUAAGGCCCUUCGGGGUACACGAGCGGCGAACGGGUGAGUAACACGUGGGUGAUCUGCCUCGCACUUCGGGAUAAGCCUGGGAAACUGGGUCUAAUACCGGAUAGGACCUCUUGUCGCAUGGCUUGGGGUGGAAAGAUUUAUCGGUGCGAGAUGGGCCCGCGGCCUAUCAGCUUGUUGGUGGGGUAAUGGCCUACCAAGGCGACGACGGGUAGCCGGCCUGAGAGGGCGACCGGCCACACUGGGACUGAGACACGGCCCAGACUCCUACGGGAGGCAGCAGUGGGGAAUAUUGCACAAUGGGCGGAAGCCUGAUGCAGCGACGCCGCGUGAGGGAUGACGGCCUUCGGGUUGUAAACCUCUUUCGACUCCGACGAAGCGAGAGUGACGGUAGGGGUAGAAGAAGCACCGGCCAACUACGUGCCAGCAGCCGCGGUAAUACGUAGGGUGCGAGCGUUGUCCGGAAUUACUGGGCGUAAAGAGCUUGUAGGCGGUUUGUCGCGUCGUCUGUGAAAACUCACAGCUCAACUGUGAGCUUGCAGGCGAUACGGGCAGACUUGAGUACUGCAGGGGAGACUGGAAUUCCUGGUG
rnacentral:rRNA from 1 species